rnacentral:tRNA from 2 species
UGAGCUAUGGUGUAAUGGUAGCACUACAGAUUCUGGCUCUGUCGGUCCGGGUUCGAGUCCUGGUAGCUCAAC